UUGGAGGGCAAGUCUGGUGCCAGCAGCCGCGGUAAUUCCAGCUCCAAUAGCGUAUAUUAAAGUUGUUGCAGUUAAAAAGCUCGUAGUUGAAUUUCGGGGUUCUACCGUUGGUCGGGCUUUGUCUGUACUGGUGUGUAGAAUUUCUACCUUCUGGGGAACCAUCAUGCUAUUAAUUUAGCGUGGUGGGAAACCAGGACCUUUACCUUGAAAAAAUUAGUGUGUUCAAAGCAGGCUUAUGUCUGAAUACAUUAGCGUGGAAUAAUAGAAUAGGACGGUGGUCCUGUUUUGUUGGUUUCUGAAUCACCGUAAUGAUUAAUAGGGAUAGUUGGGGGCAUUAGUAUUCAAUUGUCAGAGGUGAAAUUCUUGGAUUUAUUGAAGACUAACUUCUGCGAAAGCAUUUGCCAAGGAUGUUUUCAUUAAUCAAGAACGAAAGUUAGGGGAUCGAAGACGAUCAGAUACCGUCGUAGUCUUAACCAUAAACUAUGCCGACUAGGGAUCGGACGAUGUUAAUAUUCUUGACUCGUUCGGCGCCUUACGGAAAC
rnacentral:rRNA from 1 species